rnacentral:rRNA from 1 species
UGGGGAAUUUUGGACAAUGGGGGAAACCCUGAUCCAGCCAUCCCGCGUGUGCGAUGAAGGCCUUCGGGUUGUAAAGCACUUUUGGCAGGAAAGAAACGUCAUGGGUUAAUACCCCGUGAAACUGACGGUACCUGCAGAAUAAGCACCGGCUAACUACGUGCCAGCAGCCGCGGUAAUACGUAGGGUGCAAGCGUUAAUCGGAAUUACUGGGCGUAAAGCGUGCGCAGGCGGUUCGGAAAGAAAGAUGUGAAAUCCCAGAGCUCAACUUUGGAGCUGCGUUUUUAACUACCGGGCUAGAGUGUGUCAGAGGGAGGUGGAAUUCCGCGUGUAGCAGUGAAAUGCGUAGAUAUGCGGAGGAACACCGAUGGAGAAGGCAGCCUCCUGGGAUAACACUGACGCUCAUGCACGAAAGCGUGGGGAGCAAACAGG